rnacentral:lncRNA from 1 species
GGGAAAAAGCACAGUCUGUGCCAAAUGUGAACCGAUUUUUUUCUUGUCAUUAUUCCCUUAUAUAACAGCUCUUCACCUAGGAUUUUCAGUGUAUUAGGUACUAUAAUGACUUAAAAGUAUUAGAAGUCAUUUAGUAAGGCCUUUAACAUGUACAGGAGGAUGUGAGACUACUAAGCCAUUUUAUGUAAGAGAUUUGAACAUCCUGAGAUUUUAGUAUCUGCUGGAACCAAUCCUCGGGUGUAGGGAGGAUGACUGUGCACUCUGAAUGCAGCACCCAAUGACCCAUGCAGUCUCUCCUCAACUGUUCGCUCUCAUGAAUACUCUGAAGUCCAGAUUCUGCCAAGCAUCAGACAACGCUAAACUUACUAAGGGGUCCUGUCUUCAGGGAGCUUAGAAGAUAGCAAGUAAAAUAAACACUGAGCAACAAAAUGCAGGAUUAAAUAUUUAUUUAUGACAAUAUGAUCCUUGCAGGACACUGUGGGAAGGAGCACAGCUGGUUUCAAGGACUGAAAGGACCCCAAAUUGCUAUUACAAUAAAACCAAACUCCUAAGCAGGGCUGGAAGUCUGUCCACUCUCUGACCCCUGCUUUUCCCUCUGGCCAUACCAGCUCCUUUCUGUUCCUUAAACAUGCCCAAUUGUCCCCACCUCUAGGCCUUCUCUGGUCCCUUUGCAUAAAUUGCCCUUCCCCUAUUCCUUAGGCAGCUGGCUCCUGCUCACCUGUCAGAUCUGAACUUGGCUUCCCUCCUGGAAGAGGCUUUCCUUGGUCACCUUUUCUAAAGUGGCCUUCUCUGGACUCCCCAGGACCAUGUUUUCUCACACUGUGUUUGUUUCUCUGGAGAAUCGACCUUGAUCUGUGUUGGUCACGUGCUUCUUGAAGGCACAUGAGAUGAGGGUAGAAGUUGGCACCAAGAGAAUGACGUUUGUUGUGCCCCCUUCCUGCACUGUGGCCCUCGCCCACGAGCCCUGGCACCCAGCCCACUGCCAGGAGAGGUUUGUUGAUUAAUAGAAAGAAAGAGAAAAUGAGAGAAAGCAGAAAGAGAGAGAGGGAGAAGGAAGGAGGGAGCAGGGCAGAACCACUGGCUGCCGAGCACAGAGCAGGGCAGAGGUGACAGUGCGUGAGCAGGAUGCAGACCCAGUGUUCCCAGGGCCAGGAGCCACACUGACUCCGGGCAGGAGGCAGGGUUCAGGGCUGGCUGCUGAGCCGGGAGCACCUUGACCCAGCCUGGCUCCCCGGCAUUGCGCCCUUUAGCACAGAUUAAGUUACAGCCUUUAAAACGGGUUGACAGGUUGCGUGGCUGGGCCCUUCAGUCUGCCAAACCUUAAUCCAAAUAUUUUUCCCUGGGGUGAUAAAUAUUCAUCUGUGACCUUUUUAGUAUGCUUGCCUGCCCUUCAUGGCUGCCCUGCCACGGGCAUUUGCAGGAAGAGAUGCAACUGGUGGUGGCGCCCGCUGGUUGCAGGAGAGGGCGUGGCUGCCGGCGAGACAGGGAUUACACCACGGCCUGCGAGGUGGACAUGCUGGUGUGGAACUGCGCAUGCUCAUUUAACCAGGGCAGGGGAGGGGCAGGUGUUCCUGGGCCAGGUCAUCAUAGUUGGGACUCUGAGGCCUGAGUCAGUGCCAGGAGCCAGGUAGAAAGGCAAAGGGAGAGGGCUGACAUUUGCUAACUGUCCUCUUGGUGAGACAGAAUGCUUUAUAACCAUUAUUUCUUUAAACCCCAUAAAAUGCUGUAUGAUGGGUGUUAAUUUUCCCUGUUUCACAAAGAAGGAAUAUGUGAGGCAGAGAGAGAAAGUAAUUUGCCCAUGGUUAUAAAGCUGGUUAGAGAUGGAGUUGGCAUUUGAAUCCUGAGAUCUGUAUGUCUCUAAAACCGUGUUCUGUCACACCAUCAGUUUUCGAAAAGCUGAUGAAUAGAGUGUGCUGACCUCUACUGCGCCCCAGCCCCUUGAUACACCC